GGCAUAUCCCCGGGGGGCCGCUGAAGGGUUCCAUCAAAUUGGUCGUUUGAUGGGUUCCCUGUACGGCGGCUGAGAGGCAGGCACGAGCCUGCGACCCGUUUGAACCUGAUCCGGUUAGCACCGGCGGAGGGAGGGAGCGGCUUUCACCC
rnacentral:ncRNA from 2 species